GACGUAGGGCGCAAGCGUUGUCCGGAAUUAUUGGGCGUAAAGAGCUCGUAGGCGGCUUGUCGCGUCGACUGUGAAAACCCGUGGCUCAACCAUGCGGUCUGCAGUCGAUACGGGCAGGCUAGAAUUCGGUAGGGGAGACUGGAAUUCCUGGUGUAGCGGUGAAAUGCGCAGAUAUCAAGCGGAACACCGGUGGCGAAGGCGGCCUUCUGGACAGUGACUGACGCUGAGACGCGAAAGCGUGGGGAGCAAACAGG
rnacentral:rRNA from 1 species